rnacentral:rRNA from 1 species
UAGGGAAUCUUCGGCAUUGGACGAAAGUCUGACCGAGCAACGCCGCGUGAGUGAAGAAGGUUUUCGGAUCGUAAAACUCUGUUGUUAGAGAAGAACAAGGACGUUAGUAACUGAACGUCCCCUGACGGUAUCUAACCAGAAAGCCACGGCUAACUACGUGCCAGCAGCCGCGGUAAUACGUAGGUGGCAAGCGUUGUCCGGAUUUAUUGGGCGUAAAGCGAGCGCAGGCGGUUUCUUAAGUCUGAUGUGAAAGCCCCCGGCUCAACCGGGGAGGGUCAUUGGAAACUGGGAGACUUGAGUGCAGAAGAGGAGAAUGGAAUUCCAUGUGUAGCGGUGAAAUGCGUAGAUAUAUGGAGGAACACCAGUGGCGAAGGCGGCUCUCUGGUCUGUAACUGACGCUGAGGCUCGAAAGCGUGGGGAGCAAACAGG